AAAUUGAAGAGUUUGAUCAUGGCUCAGAUUGAACGCUGGCGGCAGGCCUAACACAUGCAAGUCGAACGGUAACAGAAAGAAGCUUGCUUCUUUGCUGACGAGUGGCGGACGGGUGAGUAAUGUCUGGGAAACUGCCUGAUGGAGGGGGAUAACUACUGGAAACGGUAGCUAAUACCGCAUAACGUCGCAAGACCAAAGAGGGGGACCUUCGGGCCUCUUGCCAUCGGAUGUGCCCA
rnacentral:rRNA from 1 species